rnacentral:tRNA from 1 species
GCCCGGGUGGUGGAAUGGUAUACACGAGGGACUUAAAAUCCCUUGGUCCGCAAGGGCCUUGCGGGUUCAAGUCCCGCCCCGGGCACCA